rnacentral:rRNA from 1 species
GAUGAACGCUAGCGGCAGGCCUAAUACAUGCAAGCCGAGGGCUGGUAGGUGUAGCGAUACAUAAAACAACCGGCGGACGGGUGCGUAACGCGUAUGCAACCUACCCUAUACAGGAGGAUAGCCCUCGGAAAGGAGGAAUAAUAAUCCAUAAGAUAGCUUAGAGGCAUCUUUAAGCAAUUAAAGCCGCAAGGCGGUAUAGGAUGGGCGUGCGUCCGAUUAGCUAGUUGGUGAGGUAACGGCCCACCAAGGCGAUGAUCGGUAGGGGUUCUGAGAGGAAGCUCCCCCACACGGGCACUGAGACACGGGCCCGACUCCUACGGGAGGCAGCAGUAAGGAAUAUUGGACAAUGGGUGUAAGCCUGAUCCAGCCAUGCCGCGUGCAGGAAGAAGGCCCUAUGGGUUGUAAACUGCUUUUGCGAGGGAGUAAUAAGGGCGACGCGUCGCUCGUUGCUAGUACUUCUCGAAUAAGCACCGGCUAACUUCGUG